rnacentral:tmRNA from 1 species
GGGGGCGACCUGGCUUCGACGUGGGUUGCGAAGCAGUGCAGUGCAUGCCGAGGACCAGUGACCUCGCAAAUCCAUCUGGAAAUCUACAAACGCCAACGACGAGCGUUUCGCUCUAGCCGCUUAAUACCGGCUAGCUCUGCACCGGUUUGCUGACGGGCCGGGCCGCGCAAGCGGCUGCAGAGUCAUUCACACCAGCUAAGGAUCGACCUCGCCGCGUGGCCGAUCACGAAAAUUCAGCGGAUCGCCCAGCAUCAGCCUGCCGGUUGGCGGAUGACGGGUUAAAUCAAACAACCAGGCUAAGCAUGUAGUACUGCCUGUAGAGGGCUUGCGGACGCGGGUUCGAUUCCCGCCGCCUCCACCA